UACGUAGGUGGCAAGCGUUGUCCGGAAUUAUUGGGCGUAAAGAGCGCGCAGGCGGUCGUUCAAGUCGAAUGUGAAAGCCCCCGGCUUAACUGGGGAGGGUCAUUCGAUACUGAUCGACUCGAAGGCAGGAGAGGGAAGCGGAAUUCCCGGUGUAGUGGUGAAAUGCGUAGAUAUCGGGAGGAACACCAGUGGCGAAGGCGGCUUCCUGGCCUGUUCUUGACGCUGAGGCGCGAAAGCUAGGGGAGCAAACGGG
rnacentral:rRNA from 1 species